UGAGAACACUUUUUUCCUGAGCGAUUCCAGCUUCCAGACACAUUUGCCAUGAUAAGGGUUUCAGUCCUUUCCCGUGCUUGCUCUGAGCCAUGAAUGGAUAUGUGUGAUGCCUGCAAGUAAAACCAGGUAAGAAGAGUGACCUCUCUGGGUGGCUGUGACUGAAGAUCGCUUCACGGGAGCACCCGAGGAAGGAGCUUUUCAGUUCAUUCUGGAUAAAGAAACUCGCUUAUGAAGAAGAUUUUCCCUGUAUCAUCCUCCCUCUUUAAUCUGGUCCUGGAUU